rnacentral:tRNA from 1 species
GCCUCGGUAGCUCAGCUCGGUGGAGCGCGUGACUCGUAAUCACGCGGUCGAGGGUUCAAAAACAGGAUUUUGUUUAAAGUGGAUAACAUCUCAGCAUUUCCUGUGGAACUUCCCUCCCGAGGCU